rnacentral:rRNA from 1 species
UGGUGGAGUGAUUUGUCUGCUUAAUUGCGAUAACGAACGAGACUUUGACUUUUAAAUAGCUAGGCUAGCUUUGGCUGGUCGCCGGCUUCUUAGAAGGACUAUCUGCUCAAGCAGAUGGAAGUGCGAAGCAAUAACA